GUAUUCUCAAACGCCACAGAUGUUUCAAAGUUUGGAAGUGCAGACUUCCAGCAGCAGCUCUCCAAUCAUACUGAUGGGACAAGCCGUGUUAAACCAAGGGUUCGCCACUCCGCCUCCUUCCCAGCCAUCCUCUCUGCCACCUAUGCAACUCCAGCACCAACAGCAUCAGCAGCAACGCUACCUGCAGGUGCAAACACCAAGUUCUUUGCACAGCGAGCCACCCGAUUCUUUGCUCCUGCCACCUUACUCGCCACAGCAAGGAAAUCUGGGAUAUCAUCAGACACAGCAGCAGCAGCAGCAACUAACAUCAAGAAGAAGCAAUAGCUUAUCGGAAUCGUCAAACUUACCACAGCCACUGCGAUAAGAGUCCCACCAGCACAAUCAAUGCACGAUUAGCUUUAACCAAUGGGCACACAGGGCAGAAGAGAAUGACUCUGUAAUUACUGUUUCGGCUUUUGCACAAGUAUUUCCUUUCAAAGCUCUGUGACAGAAGUACGCCACAGAGCGCAGACUGCCACAGACAGCGCGUUUACGGCACGCCGGAUGCAGCUUGCGCUGUCACGCGAGCACGGUACGUACUGGCAGAGCAACACACAGAGGAACACUAUCCUGUACAGCCUCCGUCCCCCCUGGGUGCACGGGAGGAGGCGUUCAGUCUUGGCGUCUCACUGAAAGCGAUCUGGCGAUUCCAAAAGCCUGUCGACAGACUCAUGAGGUACUUGGCCUUCACUGUUUCGGUUCUUCUUUUGUGUAUGAAAAGCACUGCGUCAAAGGUCUAUCGAGGAGAGAACAAGAGAUUAUUUUUAUUAUGAUUAUUGUUAUUAUUUUGCACAACUGCACAGAGGACAAAACCUAGGCACUUUCUGUAAAGAGAAGUUUGUCUCCUUAUUCUUGUGGCCAAAUUAGCACAUCCAGUGGAGGAGAAAGCCCAGUCGUUGCUGAAGAUGUCAUAACCCUUGAUUUAGAGUCUGAAAAGUAUUAUGCAGCUUACCCUAACUGUUUGACCCGACUAGGAACAAACAAAUGAACCCACAACCCACACUGGACUGUUUUCUAUGUGAAUUGUGAUUGCGAAACAGAACCACAACCAUGCAACUCUCCGACACUGCAACACGGAUCCUUCUUCAACCUAAAUAACUCGCCUACUGCAAGUCUCUGGGGAAUAUGCACUGUGUUUUGGCCCACUGACUCGGGAUGCUGCAGACUAUUACAUAUCUCUUUCAUUAUAACAUUUAGGAUUGAAUUUUCCUUUGGGGAGGGGGGGAAAAAAAAAAGAAAGAAAUGCACUUUUCGCUUUUUUUGUAUGUUUUCUGUUGAUAUGUUUCUAAGAAAGAUUUUAUGUAAUUAUUAAAUAAAAAGUAGUGUAUUGUACAGCUGUUGUAAUAAUGACCUAUUUCUAUAUAAAAUAAAAUUAUAUGGAAUUAUGUGGAAAUUAUUUUGUAUAUGAAAUAUCAACUCAUUUCACAAGUAUAAAGAUAGUGCUUGUGCUUUUUUGUGAGUGGAUAUUUUGUAAUAAACUAAUGAAUUAGAAAUGGGUUUUUUUGUGAAGGAAACUGCUGUUUCAUGCUAUAUACAACUCAAACUAUUUUUUUUUUUUUUUUUGCCAUUUAAUGAUGGACAGUUGUCUCUAUUUGUAGAAUAAAAUAAAAUAGCCGAAAGGCUUUAUUGCAGGACUUGCA